rnacentral:rRNA from 1 species
UAUUGGUCAAUGGGCGGGAGCCUGAACCAGCCAAGCCGCGUGAGGGAAUAAGGCCCUAUGGGUCGUAAACCUCUUUUGUCGGGGAACAAAAGCGGGGACGCGUCCCCGUUUGCGUGUACCCGAAGAAAAAGCAUCGGCUAACUCCGUGCCAGCAGCCGCGGUAAUACGGAGGAUGCGAGCGUUAUCCGGAUUUAUUGGGUUUAAAGGGUGCGUAGGCGGUAUGGUAAGUCAGCGGUAAAAGCCCGGGGCUCAACCCCGGCGAGCCGUUGAAACUGCCGUGCUAGAGAGGAAGAGAAGUAGGCGGAAUGCGCAGUGUAGCGGUGAAAUGCUUAGAUAUCGCGCAGAACUCCGAUUGCGAAGGCAGCAUGCCGGCUCCACACUGACGCUGAGGCACGAAAGCGUGGGUAUCG